CAAUACUGUCCGCUAGGUGUCAGCUUUGAAGCAAAGCUCACCUCUCUUGCCCUGUGUAGUGAAUAGAUAAAAAAAACCCGCAAAAUUGAAGAAUGUAGUUCACUGUUUCGAAUUCUUGAAUUUGUGAUCCGUACUUAUGAAAUUGUGAAUUAUACUCAUCACUCACCACCUGAUUGCAAACGGUGUUUGACCAUCAAAACUGACGAUUUCGGCAAAAUUCCUUCUGGACGCACGCAGACUUGAAGAACUGUUUCACACGUUACGCAACGAUUUCAUUUACAAACAACUUCGCGGAACGAUAAGGGGAAAUGUGAACGUUUUGUGGGAUAUCAAAAUGAAAGGCUCCUCAAGUCUAUUGACGUCGAUUCCAUCGAUUACCUUCACGUAACCAAUCGGGAAUGCUGGCAUUCGGGUGCCCACCUCGUUUAGAUAUCCCGAUUGAAACCCCACAGUCCUAAAUUGGUAUCGUAGAUAUAAAAAUGCUUUACUUAAAAAACAAAGCCAAACUUUGUUUAAAACACUUCUUGGUGGUUUACAAUAAGCACAAACCAUGGUACUUUCAAAAAUUAUCUUUUGAAUGUGUUUCUACAAAUAACUGUGGUAUUUAUUCAAAACUGAUUACAUCAGCAAUGAUUUGCAAUCUGCCAA